UACAGAGGGUGCGAGCGUUAAUCGGAAUUACUGGGCGUAAAGCGUGCGUAGACGGUUACAUAAGUCGGGUGUGAAAGCCCCGGGCUCAACCUGGGAAUUGCAUUCGAGACUGCGUAGCUAGGGUGCGGAAGAGGGAAGCGGAAUUUCCGGUGUAGCGGUGAAAUGCGUAGAUAUCGGAAGGAACACCAGUGGCGAAGGCGGCUCACUGGCCCGGUACUGACGCUGAGGUGCGAAAGCGUGGGGAGCAAACAGG
rnacentral:rRNA from 1 species